rnacentral:rRNA from 1 species
GUGGCGAACGGGUGAGUAACACGUGAGUAACCUGCCCCUGACUCUGGGAUAAGCGUUGGAAACGACGUCUAAUACUGGAUAUGAUCACUGGCCGCAUGGUCUGGUGGUGGAAAGAUUUUUUGGUUGGGGAUGGACUCGCGGCCUAUCAGCUUGUUGGUGAGGUAAUGGCUCACCAAGGCGACGACGGGUAGCCGGCCUGAGAGGGUGACCGGCCACACUGGGACUGAGACACGGCCCAGACUCCUACGGGAGGCAGCAGUGGGGAAUAUUGCACAAUGGGCGAAAGCCUGAUGCAGCAACGCCGCGUGAGGGAUGACGGCCUUCGGGUUGUAAACCUCUUUUAGUAGGGAAGAAGCGAAAGUGACGGUACCUGCAGAAAAAGCACCGGCUAACUACGUGCCAGCAGCCGCGGUAAUACGUAGGGUGCAAGCGUUGUCCGGAAUUAUUGGGCGUAAAGAGCUCGUAGGCGGUUUGUCGCGUCUGCUGUGAAAUCCCGAGGCUCAACCUCGGGCUUGCAGUGGGUACGGGCAGACUAGAGUGCGGUAGGGGAGAUUGGAAUUCCUGGUGUAGCGGUGGAAUGCGCAGAUAUCAGGAGGAACACCGAUGGCGAAGGCAGAUCUCUGGGCCGUAACUGACGCUGA